UAGUUUUGUCUAUGUUUAAGCGGCUUUGUUUGUAAAAAGUUCAAAGUGUUCUUAAUUUUUUGGAAAUAUGGAUUAUUGAUAGUUGAAGUUACAGCAGAGAGAGAGAGAGUUUGACAGUAUGCGUGUUUGAAGAAGAUAAUGCUUUUAUUGGUACAUUCAAUUCCACAAACUGAGUGUUGAUUUCCUCGAUUUCAUUGACUCCAUGAUUCAUUCUUUGAUUUCUAAUGAUCAAUCAACUUAUUGAUUUACUGAAUGAUUGGACAUGUCAUGGAGCUUAAUAUAGAUGGAGAAGUAACUUAGACGUCAUACAGUUAAAUUCAGUAUUAUUGGGGUUGUUCUAGUGCAAGUUAUCAUGUGUUUCGGGAUUUUCCAAGAUUUGAUGCAUCCUGGGUAAUAGUAGCAAAAAUACCGCCAUAUUCAAUUCCAAGAGGAACAUUGACAAAAAAAGACGAAGCAUUUUCUACUUACAUAAGAAGCAAUACUUAUUUAUGUUAAAACGUACCAUACACACUUUUCCACACAGAUAUUUUUUUUAACUUGAAAAAUAUUAUUUUUACUAUGACUUUUUUAGUUUCAAAGGCAUCUACCUCUUACUUCAAAUACAUAUUCCUUAUCAUCAAUUACAUCUUAUGUGACUAGGUUCAUAAUUUACUCUUAAAGCAAUAUUUCCAGGUUAAUAUCCCUUUGAACUUUUUUUUAAAGAAAUAUUAUAAGUAAUUUAAUUUACAUUUAAGCUCACCUGAGCAAUGCUCAGGGUGAGCUAUUGUGAUGGCCCUGUGUCCGUCGUCGUGCGUCGUCAACUUUUAACAUAAACAACAUCUCCUCUGAAACCAAUGACUGCACAUCGACCAAACUUUACAGAAAUGAUCCUUGUGUGGGCCCCUUUCAAAGUUGUUCAAAUGGUUCCGGUCUGUUGCAUAUGUAGGUCAUAGGGCCAGAAAAGGAUUUAAAAAAACACAAAAUUAAAAAAUCUUCUGGUCUGAAAGUACAUGGGCCAGAGCUUUGAUUUUUGGUAUAUGGUAUCAUUAUGGGUCCUCUACCAAAGUUGUUCAAAUUUUGUCCCUAGUGUCAAAAUUGGCCCCGCCCUGGGGGUCAUAGGUUUUUCCUUAUAUGUAUAUAGUAAAAUCUAAAAAAAUCUUCUUCUCUGAUUUGGCAAAGGCUACAGAUUAGAUAUUUGGCAUGAAACAUUGUGUAGUAGACCUCUAUCAAGAUUGUUCAAAUAAUGGCCGGGGGUCAUUGAUUCUUCAUUACAUACAUAUAGUGAAAACUUGAAAAAUCUUCUGGUCUGAAAGUAAAUGGCCUAGAGCUUUGAUAUUUGGUCUAUGGUAUCACCUAUAGGUCCAAAACCAAACUUGUUCUAAUUUUGUUCCUAGAAUUAAAAUCGGCCCCGGGGGUCAUUGAUUUUCCCUAUAUGUAUAUAGUGAAAACUUAAAAAAUCUUCUUUUAAAGAACCCAAAGAGCUAGAGCUAAGAUAUUUAGCAUGAAACAUCUUCUAAUGGUUGUCUACCAAGUUUGUUCAAAUAAAAGCCCUGUGGUCAAAAUUGGCCCCCGCCCCAGGGGGUCAUUGAUUUUCCCUAUAUGCACAUAG